rnacentral:rRNA from 1 species
UACGAAGGGUGCAAGCGUUACUCGGAAUUACUGGGCGUAAAGGGUGCGUAGGUGGUUUGUUAAGUCUGCUGUGAAAUCCCCGGGCUCAACCUGGGAAUGGCAGUGGAUACUGGCAAGCUAGAGUGCGGUAGAGGGUAGUGGAAUUCCCGGUGUAGCAGUGAAAUGCGUAGAGAUCGGGAGGAACACCAGUGGCGAAGGCGGCUACCUGGACCAGCACUGACACUGAAGCACGGAAAGCGUGGG